GGCUUUAUAUUCAAGUAUGAUUUUAAAUUGCAAGUUUAAAGGUGGGGGAGCCCUAAGGCUU
rnacentral:tRNA from 1 species